rnacentral:rRNA from 1 species
UACGGGGGGAGCAAGCGUUGUUCGGAUUUACUGGGCGUAAAGGGCGCGUAGGCGGCCACCGCAAGUCAGUUGUGAAAUCCCUGGGCUCAACCUGGGAACUGCAUUCGAUACUGUCGAGCUAGAGUGUGGGAGAGGGUAGUGGAAUUCCCGGUGUAGCGGUGAAAUGCGUAGAUAUCGGGAGGAACAUCAGUGGCGAAGGCGACUGCCUGGCCCAACACUGACGCUGAGGUGCGAAAGCGUGGGUAGCAAACAGG